GUUUUUGGCCCAAAAAUCAAAAAGCUUAAAUUCAUUUAAAUAAAAGAAAUGGUGAUGGUGUCACUGUUCUUCAAAGCUUCAACACUCUGAAGCUCCCCGGUGGGAGCAUCUCGCAGCUUAGUGAAACGGCUACAUUUAGUUCAAGGUCUGCUGAAAAUGAAAAAGUGGUAUGGGGGCUUGUUGAUCAUUGCUCUGGCCAUGAUGUUGAUUCUCCUGUACAGUCUGUUUGGAAUGCAGCCACAGAAGUCAGUAAAACAGUCAGCUUACAGUUUCUUUAAUAAUCAUAACCCAACUGAUUCUACUGUAAGAAACAAUAUUACUAUAAGUUCUUCAAAUGUAGAAGUAAAAGGAGUACCAAAACCAACAAAAAGGCCACAUUAUAUAGAUGUUAAAGGGCUUGAUGAUCUUUGUAACAUGAAAAACUUUUCGGAAGGAGAGUUGAAAGCAAUGCUUGUGUGGACUCCCUUGUGUUCCCUGCUGUCAAGGUCAGAUGCUUUACCAGAAACAGCUCAAGGAGUUAAAGAGGCUUCUGUAGCAUGGAAAGAGUUGUUGUCCACAAUGGAGAAGCAGAAAGCCUCUAGGAUUAACAAGGUAGAUGGCCCUGAAAAUCAGAACUGCCCAUUUUCUGUAACCGCACUUGGUAAAACUUUGGCAAGCAAUGGAAUCAUUAUUGAGCUUCCUUGUGGUCUAGUUGUAGAUUCAUCUGUUACACUAAUUGGCAUUCCUAUUGGGCAAAAUGGAAGCUUCCAGAUUGACCUUGUGGGCCAACAAAUAGAAAAAGAGCCAAAUCCUCCUAUAAUUUUGCAUUACAAUGUGAGUCUGCCUGGAGAAAAUUUAACUGAGGAUCCAUUUAUAGUUCAAAAUACUUGGACUAAUGAACAUGGGUGGGGAAAAGAGGAAAAGUGUCCAGCUCAUGGUUCUGCUAACAUACAAGAAGUUGAUGGACUUGUGUUCUGCAAUGUACAAGUUGCCAGGAGCAGCAAUGAAGAGAAUCAAAGUGUGGGUAAACCUGCUACUGAUAGAACUGCUAACAUUUCAGGGGAAAGUGCACAUAGAACUGCUAAUUUCCCUUUCACUGAGGGAAAUCCGUUCACUGCCACAUUGUGGGUGGGUUCAGAGGGAUUUCAUAUGACUGUGAAUGGAAGGCAUGAAACAUCUUUUGCAUUUAGGGAGAAACUUGAGCCUUGGUUAGUUAACAGCGUCAAAGUGGCUGGCAAUCUAAGUCUCUUAUCUGCACUGGCGAAAGGCUUACCUACUACUGAAGAUAAUGAUAUUGUCAUUGAUCUUGAGAAACUUAAAGCUCCUUCGAUCCCUGAAAAAAGGCUUGUUUUGUUAAUUGGGGUAUUCUCGACAGGAAAUAACUUUGAAAGACGAAUGGCCCUCAGGAGGUCUUGGAUGCAAUAUGAGGCUGUACGUUCUGGAGAAGUAGCUGUCCGAUUUUUCAUAGGGCUUCACAAGAACAAUAUUGUUAAUGUUGAGCUGUGGAGAGAAGCUCAAGCUUUUGGAGAUAUCCAGUUUAUGCCUUUUGUUGAUUAUUAUGGUUUGAUCACCUUCAAAACUAUUGCAAUAUGCAUUUUAGGGACGAAAAUCAUACCUGCUAAGUACAUUAUGAAGACGGAUGAUGAUGCUUUUGUUAGGAUUGAUGAAGUGAUUUCUAACCUUAAAAGAAAGCCAUCAGAGGGCCUCUUGUUUGGUCUUAUAUCUUUCAAAUCAUCACCUCACAGGGAUAAAGAUGGUAAAUGGUACAUCAGCAAGGAGGAAUGGCCACAUGAUUCGUACCCUCCAUGGGCGCACGGUCCUGGUUACGUUAUCUCUCGAGACAUAGCAAAAUUCAUUGUCCAUGGCCAUGAACAAAGAACUCUGAAGGUGAGAAUUUCUUCUUUCAAUUCACAUUUCACUAUUUGUGACAAGUGCAAAACUUCACCUAGUUUCUGAAAAGUAUUGUGGAUUUUUCCUUCAAAAUUGUCUUCUCAAAAAGCCUGUUAACUAAUAUGGCCUAGCUUAAUGUGAAGCUAUGCGGCAAUAAAGUUACCAACUGUCACUGUAACAUGCCGUUAUAGAACAUAUUCCUCAAAGCAGUCACAACACCAUAGUCUCUUGGUCGUGUUUAAUGGUAUGUUUCAAUAACAUUUAGGCACUUAAUGCCCACAUGGAUCACCUGUCUCUUUAACUUUCUCUCUCUUAAUGUGAGAACCAUGUCAAAGGCAGAAUAGGUGCAAAACUGCUCACUCCCGGAUCGGACCUCAGGUUCAAAAAUUGUGUUCAAGGUCUUUCUGGGUCAGGCUUUAGAUUCAGUCAGCCCUCCCCGGUUCAGUUCAUAUGCACCCAUAAAUAGAAGUGCUGGAAUAAGAUGUUCAAACUUGGGGGAAUCAAUUUAGACAUGAUGUAUCUUUCGAUGCUCUUCAAACUGGAAGAUGUUGCCAUGGGGAUAUGGAUUGAAGAGUUCAAGAAGAGUGGUAGAGAAGUCCAUUACGAAAGUGACGAAAGAUUUCACAAUGUUGGAUGUGAAUCAGAUUAUAUACUUGCCCAUUAUCAAAAU